rnacentral:rRNA from 1 species
GAGUUUGAUCUUGGCUCAGGAUGAACGCUGGCGGCGUGCUUAACACAUGCAAGUCGAACGAAGAGGAUAAGAAAGAGCGCUUCGGCAGGAUUUUUAUCAUCUUAGUGGCGGACGGGUGAGUAACGUGUGGGCAACCUGCCCUGUACUGUGGAAUAAUCAUUGGAAACGAUGACUAAUACCGCAUGUGGUCCUCAGAGGGCAUCCUCGGAGGAAGAAAGGAUACGUUCGGUACAGGAUGGGCCCGCAUCUGAUUAGCUAGUUGGUGAGAUAACAGCCCACCAAGGCAACGAUCAGUAGCCGACCUGAGAGGGUGAUCGGCCACAUUGGGACUGAGACACGGCCCAAACUCCUACGGGAGCAGCAGUGGGGAAUAUUG